AGAGUUUGAUCCUGGCUCAGGACGAACGCUGGCGGCGUGCUUAACACAUGCAAGUCGAACGGUUUAUAAGGGCUUGCCCUUAUAGAUAGUGGCGAACGGGUGCGUAACACGUGUGCAACCUGCCCCAAAGUUUAGGUAUAACACCGGGAAACCGAUGCUAAUACCAAAUAUGCUCACACUAUCGCACGAUCGGUUGAGGAAAGUUUUUACGUCUUCGGGAGGGGCGUCGCGGCCUAUCAGCUUGUUGGUGAGGUAACGGCUCACCAAGGCUUCGACGGGUAGCUGGUCUGAGAGGACGAUCAGCCACACUGGGACUGAGACACGGCCCAGACUCCUACGGGAGGGCGAC
rnacentral:rRNA from 1 species